CCGUUGGUUUCGACCAUGAGGGUUCAAUUCCCUCUAUCCCCA
rnacentral:tRNA from 2 species